rnacentral:rRNA from 1 species
UUAUAUAAGUUAUCGUUUAUUUGAUAGUGCCUAUCCUACACGGAUAACAGUGGUAAUUCUAGAGCUAAUACGUGCCAAAUGCCCCGACUUCGGAAGGGGCGUGCUUGUCAGAAUCAGAACCAAUGCCCUUGUGGCUCACUGGUGGCUCAUGACAAUCCCACAGAUCGCAUGGCCUUGUGCCGGCGAUGGCUCAUUCAAAUUUCUUCCCUAUCAACUUUCGACGGUACGGUCUUGGCCUACCGUGGUUACAACGGGUAACGGAGGGUUAGGGCUCGACCCCGGAGAGGGAGCCUGAGAGACGGCUACCACAUCCAAGGAAGGCAGCAGCCGCGCAAAUUAUCCAAUCCCGACACGGGGAGAUAGUGACAAUAAAUACCGAUACAGGGCUCUUUUGGGCCCCGUAAUUGGAAUGAGUACAAUUUAAACCUCUUAACGAGGAACAAUUGGAGGGCAAGUCUGGUGCCAGCAGCCGCGGUAAUUCCAGCUCCAAUAGCGUAUAUUAAAGUUGUUGUGGUUAAAAAGCUCGUAGUCGAACCUCGGGCUCGGCCGGCCGGUCCGCCUCACCGCGUGCACUGGCCCGGCCGGGCUCUUCCCUCUGAGGAGCCGCAUGCCCUUCACUGGGCGUGCCGGGGAAUCAGGACUUUUACUUUGAAAAAAUUAGAGUGCUCAAGGCAGGCCAAUGCUCGGAUACAUUAGCAUGGAAUAAUAGAAUAGGACGUUGGUUCUAUUUUGUUGGUUUCUAGGACCGCCGUAAUGAUCAAUAGGGACGGUCGGGGGCAUCAGUAUUCAGCCGCGAGAGGUGAAAUUCUUAGACCGGCUGAAGACUAACUACUGCGAAAGCAUUUGCCAAGGACGUUUUCGCUGAUCAGGAACGAAAGUUAGGGGAUCGAAGACGAUCAGAUACCGUCGUAGUCUUAACCAUAAACGGUGCCGACUUGGGAUCGGGCGCUGCUGAUUUUA